UUCCAAGCUGCGGGCUCCAAUUUCUACUCUAAGUUUAUAUAUGCAAUAAAGCCAAGCCAAGCUCAAUUGGAACUUCAAAUUUUGUUCUAGUUUGGUAUGCAAAAGCUCAGUGCAAACUUCAUCCUUCUACCUUGUGGUGCUUAGUUUCAAAAGUGGUAGGUGUUCAUGUGAGUUUGCCAGAUGAUCAACUAUAACUAGGAUACCUAGGAUCGAGAGACAACCAGGAAAAUCCAAACAAUGGACUUAAAAUCUAGCAGUUUCAUUGUUGAUAGUACCUUGGAACAGAAUUUUGACAACCAUAAAGUGGAAGGACGACAAAACUCACCUAGCAACCCACAAUGAGAGGCAUAAGAUCAUGAUUAAGAGCCCAAAAGAAGCAGAUUUUUCAUUAAAACAAGAGGGCCAUCAUUCUAACUCAAGUGAUCAUGAAAAGGCAAAGGCUUCAUCAAGCUCAGCAGCACAAUGGCCAAGACUGAAGGAUCCAAGGAUUGUGCGAGUGUCUCGAGCCUUUGGAGGGAAAGACAGACAUAGCAAGGUUUGCACAAUAAGAGGGUUAAGAGACAGGAGGGUGAGGCUAUCAGUACCAACCGCCAUCCAACUCUAUGAUCUUCAAGAUAGGCUAGGGCUCAGUCAACCUAGCAAAGUUGUUGAUUGGUUGCUCAAUGCAGCUAAGCAUGAAAUUGAUGAACUUCCACCACUUCCCAAUAUUCCUUCAGUGAAUAACUUCACCCUUGGUUAUCCAUCUGCUGUUACUUCUAAUGAAGCUACCACCUCUCAUUCUCAGCCUAAUGAACAACUUCUUAAUAUCAAUAGGAGCAUUCAGUGGGAAGGUUCAAGUCAAAAUUCUUUCUGGAAACUGAAGCCUAAAGAAGUUUCAGGAGAAAUGGUUAGCCCUGAGAAAGCAUUAAGUUGGAUAAAUAGAAGUGAAGAGGAUAGGCAAGGAAGCAAUAAUGAAGGUCCUGGUACUGCGAAUGUUAUACCAAAUAAUCUCUCACCAAGAGCAAGUCACCCUUCAUUAAUGGGCUUACUGAAUACCAUGCCACACGGUUAUCAAUGGGAACCUUCUGGUGGUGAUGUUUCUCAUCAUCAGUUGGGAAACAAUGGAUUUUCAAACCAAACAGACACACAUGGCAUUAAUGUUGUGCCUUUCCCAACAUCAGCAUUGUCUUUAUCAACUGGGAAUUCUCAAAUUCUGCUUUGUCCUCCAGGAGCAACACAGCCAUAUUUCUCUUCACAUGUUACAGCAAUGGACAUGGAUCCGAGACAAAUUAACCAUUAUCAGAUGUUGAGUUCAGCUUCUCAAAAUCCAUUAACGAGUUCUCUCAACCACUCUUUCAGCUUGGCUAUGAUGACUCAUAGACCUCUCAACUCACCCAACAGCAGCAAAAGCCCUUCCCUCAAAGACCAGGAUUUCCCUUCCAAGUGAUACACAAAAUACAAAGUUUAUCUGAAUUCUCUUCCUCUCACAAUAUGCAUGGAUCAAGACCGUGAGAAAGCUUCUUCAAUUACCAGAAAUUCUACGUUGCAGCGGGGUUUGAAUAAUCAUUUUGUUUUUGAAUGCCUGUUUGGAUUUCCUUCUAUUUCUUUCAAUUAUAGAUGAAACAAAACGAAAGACAAUACCUAAUUUCAUGUUGAUACGCACGGUGGCCAGCACAUCGAUCAACCAUACAACAUAGGAGGCUUUCUUUUCGGAGGAGUAGUUGAUUGAAGGGAUAACUCUGAUACCAAUGAUCUUGAUUUAUGUUCAUGCUUUAUGAAUUGUAGUUUACUUUCCUUGAAACAUAUCUUCUUUUAUAUUUGUAAUGACUAUGUUUUUGAUUUAGUUUUAUUUGAAUU